rnacentral:lncRNA from 1 species
CCGCAGCUCCAGGCAGGUGCUGCAGAGCCCGGCUCCAAUGGGGCAGCACGGGGAGGGCAGAGCAGAGCAGAGCAGAGCAGAGCACACCUCCAUUGCUGGGUCAUUGCCCAGGUCAGCAGCCAGCCUGCCCUCGCCAAGCCUUGCGUCUGUGCAGGGUCUGUUCCAUCAGCUUUGGGUUCUGAUGAGCUCUUAGUUUUCUGAGGAAACUCCUGAGGAUCUGGUGAAGUUUUCUUGCGUUCUCAAGUCCCUGUUCCUUAAAGCACAUCACGGUGGUGCUGUGAAGGAACCUGGCGGUUCCCAGCCUCCUGCUGAGCCUCCCCAGCUGCUGGCCUGCCCAGCAUUCCGGGCAUACCUCUCCUCUGUUGCCUCCGAUGAAGUCAUCAUCUCCACUUCUCUUAUUCCUGGCUUGUUCCGAGUGCCAUGGCAUGUGUGCUGCUGACAAGAACAGCUUCCUUUUGACAGCAGGAGAGGGGGAGCGCGUGAGGAGGGAUGAGCAAGAAGCAGGAGGAGCUGAUGUAUUUCAUUCCCACUAAAAAGAGCGUAAUUCCGACGAUCCCCGGGACUAGCUGUGAUUCACAAGAGCAGGCAUUUCUUUGUCUGCUCCUGGUGGAUACACAGCGGUUUGUUAUCGCUUCCUCGCAGCACCCACUGCUGCUCCUCCGCUCUGCUCUCCAUGCAUGGCAGCCUGGUUGGGAUCUUUCCUCUCACCCUGAAGAAAAGGGCUGCUUCAACCUGUACGUAUCCUUACCUGUCACUGAGCAAAAACUGCUCUGCUGUGUAUUUCUGCUAGUAAGGAGAUACUAAUUUACUUACAUGCUGCUUUUACUUCUCUUUAAAAUAAACAACUUCCCU